GGUUAAGCGACUAAGCGUACACGGUGGAUGCCCUGGCAGUCAGAGGCGAUGAAGGACGUGCUAAUCUGCGAUAAGCGUCGGUAAGGUGAUAUGAACCGUUAUAACCGGCGAUUUCCGAAUGGGGAAACCCAGUGUGAUUCGUCACACUAUCAUUAACUGAAUCCAUAGGUUAAUGAGGCGAACCGGGGGAACUGAAACAUCUAAGUACCCCGAGGAAAAGAAAUCAACCGAGAUUCCCCCAGUAGCGGCGAGCGAACGGGGAGCAGCCCAGAGCCUGAAUCAGUGUGUGUGUUAGUGGAAGCGUCUGGAAAGGCGCGCGAUACAGGGUGACAGCCCCGUACACAAAAAUGCACAUGCUGUGAGCUCGAUGAGUAGGGCGGGACACGUGGUAUCCUGUCUGAAUAUGGGGGGACCAUCCUCCAAGGCUAAAUACUCCUGACUGACCGAUAGUGAACCAGUACCGUGAGGGAAAGGCGAAAAGAACCCCGGCGAGGGGAGUGAAAAAGAACCUGAAACCGUGUACGUACAAGCAGUGGGAGCACGCUUAGGCGUGUGACUGCGUACCUUUUGUAUAAUGGGUCAGCGACUUAUAUUCUGUAGCAAGGUUAACCGAAUAGGGGAGCCGAAGGGAAACCGAGUCUUAACUGGGCGUUAAGUUGCAGGGUAUAGACCCGAAACCCGGUGAUCUAGCCAUGGGCAGGUUGAAGGUUGGGUAACACUAACUGGAGGACCGAACCGACUAAUGUUGAAAAAUUAGCGGAUGACUUGUGGCUGGGGGUGAAAGGCCAAUCAAACCGGGAGAUAGCUGGUUCUCCCCGAAAGCUAUUUAGGUAGCGCCUCGUGAAUUCAUCUCCGGGGGUAGAGCACUGUUUCGGCAAGGGGGUCAUCCCGACUUACCAACCCGAUGCAAACUGCGAAUACCGGAGAAUGUUAUCACGGGAGACACACGGCGGGUGCUAACGUCCGUCGUGAAGAGGGAAACAACCCAGACCGCCAGCUAAGGUCCCAAAGUCAUGGUUAAGUGGGAAACGAUGUGGGAAGGCCCAGACAGCCAGGAUGUUGGCUUAGAAGCAGCCAUCAUUUAAAGAAAGCGUAAUAGCUCACUGGUCGAGUCGGCCUGCGCGGAAGAUGUAACGGGGCUAAACCAUGCACCGAAGCUGCGGCAGCGACACUAUGUGUUGUUGGGUAGGGGAGCGUUCUGUAAGCCUGUGAAGGUGUACUGUGAGGUAUGCUGGAGGUAUCAGAAGUGCGAAUGCUGACAUAAGUAACGAUAAAGCGGGUGAAAAGCCCGCUCGCCGGAAGACCAAGGGUUCCUGUCCAACGUUAAUCGGGGCAGGGUGAGUCGACCCCUAAGGCGAGGCCGAAAGGCGUAGUCGAUGGGAAACAGGUUAAUAUUCCUGUACUUGGUGUUACUGCGAAGGGGGGACGGAGAAGGCUAUGUUGGCCGGGCGACGGUUGUCCCGGUUUAAGCGUGUAGGCUGGUUUUCCAGGCAAAUCCGGAAAAUCAAGGCUGAGGCGUGAUGACGAGGCACUACGGUGCUGAAGCAACAAAUGCCCUGCUUCCAGGAAAAGCCUCUAAGCAUCAGGUAACAUCAAAUCGUACCCCAAACCGACACAGGUGGUCAGGUAGAGAAUACCAAGGCGCUUGAGAGAACUCGGGUGAAGGAACUAGGCAAAAUGGUGCCGUAACUUCGGGAGAAGGCACGCUGAUAUGUAGGUGAAGUCCCUCGCGGAUGGAGCUGAAAUCAGUCGAAGAUACCAGCUGGCUGCAACUGUUUAUUAAAAACACAGCACUGUGCAAACACGAAAGUGGACGUAUACGGUGUGACGCCUGCCCGGUGCCGGAAGGUUAAUUGAUGGGGUCAGCGCAAGCGAAGCUCUUGAUCGAAGCCCCGGUAAACGGCGGCCGUAACUAUAACGGUCCUAAGGUAGCGAAAUUCCUUGUCGGGUAAGUUCCGACCUGCACGAAUGGCGUAAUGAUGGCCAGGCUGUCUCCACCCGAGACUCAGUGAAAUUGAACUCGCUGUGAAGAUGCAGUGUACCCGCGGCAAGACGGAAAGACCCCGUGAACCUUUACUAUAGCUUGACACUGAACAUUGAGCCUUGAUGUGUAGGAUAGGUGGGAGGCUUUGAAGUGUGGACGCCAGUCUGCAUGGAGCCGACCUUGAAAUACCACCCUUUAAUGUUUGAUGUUCUAACGUUGACCCGUAAUCCGGGUUGCGGACAGUGUCUGGUGGGUAGUUUGACUGGGGCGGUCUCCUCCUAAAGAGUAACGGAGGAGCACGAAGGUUGGCUAAUCCUGGUCGGACAUCAGGAGGUUAGUGCAAUGGCAUAAGCCAGCUUGACUGCGAGCGUGACGGCGCGAGCAGGUGCGAAAGCAGGUCAUAGUGAUCCGGUGGUUCUGAAUGGAAGGGCCAUCGCUCAACGGAUAAAAGGUACUCCGGGGAUAACAGGCUGAUACCGCCCAAGAGUUCAUAUCGACGGCGGUGUUUGGCACCUCGAUGUCGGCUCAUCACAUCCUGGGGCUGAAGUAGGUCCCAAGGGUAUGGCUGUUCGCCAUUUAAAGUGGUACGCGAGCUGGGUUUAGAACGUCGUGAGACAGUUCGGUCCCUAUCUGCCGUGGGCGCUGGAGAACUGAGGGGGGCUGCUCCUAGUACGAGAGGACCGGAGUGGACGCAUCACUGGUGUUCGGGUUGUCAUGCCAAUGGCACUGCCCGGUAGCUAAAUGCGGAAGAGAUAAGUGCUGAAAGCAUCUAAGCACGAAACUUGCCCCGAGAUGAGUUCUCCCUGACUCCUUGAGAGUCCUGAAGGAACGUUGAAGACGACGACGUUGAUAGGCCGGGUGUGUAAGCGCAGCGAUGCGUUGAGCUAACCGGUACUAAUGAACCGUGAGGCUUAACCUU
rnacentral:rRNA from 1 species